CCUGCCGAAGAGCAAAGCUCAGUUCCUAGAGCAUGAGACUCCUAAUCUCAGGGUCGUGGGUUCGAACAAAAGAUUCCUGCACCGCAGGG